UGUGAAGAUGUGUGGCUAAGUGAGGGAGUGUGUGUGGCGAUUUGAGUGAGUGGGAAGGGUGCUGGUUCCUUUCUUCUGUUCUUCAUUAUCUAAGUUGAUCGCUUUGUAGACUUUCAAAAACACUUGAUUUGUUUUACGUAGGUUUUUCUUCAAAGAUUUCCCGAAAAUUGUUUUACGAAAGAUUAUUUUUAUAGAUUUCUUGAGAGGUUUUUCUGCGGAAAUUUU
rnacentral:lncRNA from 1 species